GUCUCCGUGGCGCAAUCGGCUAGCGCGUUCGGCUGUUAACCGAAAGGUUGGUGGUUCGAGCCCACCUGGGGACA
rnacentral:tRNA from 1 species